GGGCUGUUAGCUCAGUUGGUUAGAGCGCCUGCUUUGCAAGCAGGAGGUCGCGAGUUCGAAUCUCGCACAGUCCA
rnacentral:tRNA from 1 species